rfam:Desulfosporosinus acidiphilus SJ4, complete genome.
GGGCCUGUAGCUCAGCUGGUUAGAGCGCACGCCUGAUAAGCGUGAGGUCGGUGGUUCGAGUCCACCCAGGCCCA